rfam:Schistosoma curassoni strain Dakar, Senegal genome assembly, scaffold: SCTD_scaffold0001980
AUUCAGCUGACGAGUCCCAAAUUGGACUAAAUGUGCAUCCUGAAU